ACUCCUACGGGAGGCAGCAGUGGGGAAUAUUGCACAAUGGGCGAAAGCCUGAUGCAGCGACGCCGCGUGAGGGAUGACGGCCUUCGGGUUGCAAACCUCUUUCAGCAGGGAAGAAGCGAAAGUGACGGUACCUGCAGAAGAAGCACCGGCUAACUACGUGCCAGCAGCCGCGGUAAUACGUAGGGUGCGAGCGUUGUCCGGAAUUAUUGGGCGUAAAGAGCUUGUAGGCGGUCUGUCGCGUCUGCUGUGAAAAUCCGGGGCUCAACCCCGGACCUGCAGUGGGUACGGGCAGACUAGAGUGUGGUAGGGGAGACUGGAAUUCCUGGUGUAGCGGUGAAAUGCGCAGAUAUCAGGAGGAACACCGAUGGCGAAGGCAGGUCUCUGGGCCACUACUGACGCUGAGAAGCGAAAGCGUGGGGAGCGAACAGGAUUAGAUACCCUGGUAGCUCGAUGU
rnacentral:rRNA from 1 species